AUGUCUUGUUCUCCGCCGCCCCCGCUCGCGCUCUCGAUCCUCCUCUCCCGCCUCCGCGCCUGCGGCUCCGCCCCGCACGCGCUGCAGUGCCACGCCCUCCUCCUCACCUCCGGCCACCUCGCCGCCUCCCCGCUCCGCCUCUCCAACCUCCUCCUCCUCGCGCUCGCGUCCGCCUGCGCGGCGGCCCACGCCGACGCCGUCUUCGCCCGCCUCCCGGGGGCCGCCUCCGCACACGCCUUCCCCUGGAACACCCUCAUCCGCCUCCACGCCCCCUCGAGCCCCCGCAGGGCCCUCGCCUACUUCGCGCGCAUGCGCCGUGGCGCGGUGGACCCCGACGCCUACACCUUCCCCCCCGUGCUCAAGGCGUGCGGCUGCGGGGUCGGGCUGCUGGUGCACGCCGAGGCUGUGAGGAGGGGUCUGGAUCGCGACCUGUUCACGCGGAACGCGCUGAUCAGCUUCUACUGCAGGACCGGCGACUGUCGCUCUGGGCGGAAGGUGUUCGAUGACGGCGCGCGAGACCUCGUUUCGUGGAACUCCAUGGUGGCGGGGUACGUCGGGUGCGGCGAGGUGGAGCUGGCGCAGGAGCUGUUCGACGAAAUGCCGCAUAGGGACGCCUUCUCCUGGGCCGCCAUGAUUGAUGCCUACGGGAAGCGGUCUGGAGGUGUGGACCGUGCGCGCGAGCUGUUCGAUCAAAUGCCUGAGAGGGAUCUGGUGUGCUGGAACUCGAUGAUCGAUGGGUAUGCUAGGCAGGGGAGGAUGGACGAGGCGAGGGUGCUAUUCGAUCAGAUGCCUGAGAGGAAUGUGAUCUCGUGGAGUAUUGUUGUUGACGGGUAUGUCAGGUGUGGCGAGCCUUCGGAGGCUUUGGAACUUUUCCGAAGGAUGCUGAGGUGCGGUAUCAGACCUGAUAGGGUCGCUGCAGUUGGGGCUGUCACGGCCUGCGCACAGCUGGGAGCUCUGGAGCAAGGCAGGUGGCUGCACUCUUACUUGGAGAAGAAGAAGAUUUUGUUCGAUGUUGUGGUGAAGACAGCUCUGAUAGAUAUGUACAUGAAAUGUGGGCGCUUGGAUCUCGCCAUGUUGAUCUUUGAAAGCAUGCCUGACAAGACCGUGGUUACUUGGAAUGUGAUGAUUGUUGGACUUGGAACUCAUAGCUGCGGACUUGAUGCUGUCAAGCUUUUCCGCCAAAUGGAGUCUGAAGGAGCACCAAUGGAUGAUCUUAGUGUGCUCGCCGUGCUGACUGCAUGCACACAUGCUGGGUUGAUCUCAGAGGGUUUACAGAUAUUUCAUAGAAUGAAGAAGGAUUUUGGGAUAGAUCCCAAGGUUGAACAUUAUGGUGCAUUGGUUGAUCUCCUUGGCCGUGCUGGACAUUUGGAUCAGGCUAGGCAUACCAUAGAGACAAUGCCCAUGGAACCAACUCCAGAAUUAUGGGGAUCUCUGCUUGCUGCCUGCCGAAGUCAUAGGUGCGUCGAACUGGCUGAGCUGUCGGUUGAACGCCUAGCAAGUCUUGGAGCUGAUGACUCUGGAGUCUAUGUUCUUCUGUCCAAUAUCUACGCUGAUGAAGGAAUGUGGGAUGGUGUCUCGAGGAUUAGGAGAUUGAUGAGUGCUGAAGGGAUGAAAAAGGACAUUGGAAGGAGUGUGAUUGAGGCGGAUGGACAAAUACACGAGUUUGUGAAUGGAGGCAGUUCACAUCCUGAUAAGGAUGAAAUUUACAUGAUGCUGUGGAAUUUAUCUAACAUGGUAGCAUCUGCUUGA
rnacentral:rRNA from 1 species